AACUUUUAUAAGAAGCACGAGAAAUAAAUAGUACGACAGGAAACAUGGACAAUAAAUAAGGGGAAACACAAGAGACCCACAUCAAACCAAACACGAGACAUUGAGAGAAAAAAACGUCAAAACACGAAAACAAGUGAAAACAAGUGAAAUAAAAAAGAAAACGUUGCAUAAAAUUAACCCAUUACCUCCCUGUAAAAUUCAAAGUUGACAAAUACCACCAGCACUAAGCAGAAC
rnacentral:lncRNA from 1 species